UGGGCGAAAGCCUGAUCCAGCAAUGCCGCGUGAGUGAUGAAGGCCUUAGGGUUGUAAAGCUCUUUUGCCAGGGACGAUGAUGACGGUACCCAAAGAAUAAGCACCGGCUAACUUCGUG
rnacentral:rRNA from 1 species